rnacentral:rRNA from 1 species
UACGUAGGGUGCAAGCGUUAUUCGGAAUUACUGGGCGUAAAGCGUGCGCAGGCGGUUAUGUAAGACAGAUGUGAAAUGCCCGGGCUUAACCUGGGAACUGCAUUUGUGACCGCAUGGCUAGAGUUUGGCAGAGGGGGGUAGAAUUCCACGUGUAGCAGUGAAAUGCGUAGAUAUGUGGAGGAACACCGAUGGCGAAGGCAGCCCCCUGGGUCAAGACUGACGCUCAUGCACGAAAGCGUGGGGAGCAAACAGG